UGUCACCUCUUCCUCUUCUUCUCCUCUCCUCCACCUCUUCUCUUUCUCAUAUGCUGUCGAAUACUAAGGUUUCUGUGUCACCUCUUCCUCUUCUUCUCCUCUCCUCCACCUCUUCUCUUUCUCAUAUGCUGUCGAAUACUAAGGUUUCUGUGUCACCUCUUCCUCUUCUUCUCCUCUCCUCCACCUCUUCUCUUUCUCAUAUGCUGUCGAAUACUAAGGUUUCUGUGUCACCUCUUCCUCUUCUCCUCUCCUCCACCUCUUCUCUUUCUCAUAUGCUGUCGAAUACUAAGGCUUCUGUGUCAUCUAUUCCUCUUCUCCUCUCCUUCACCUCUUCUCUUUCUCAUAUGCUGUCGAAUACUAAGGUUUCCGUGUCACCUCUUCCUCUUCUCCUCUCCUCCACCUCUUCUCUUUCUCAUAUGCUGUCGAAUACUAAGGUUUCCGUGUCACCUCUUCCUCUUCUCCUCUCCUUCACCUCUUCUCUCCUCUUUCUCAUAUGCUGUCGAAUACGAUGGUUUCUGGUUAUGACUAGACAGCAUCUCUCCCCUCCCCCGCACCCCCCAACGCCCCCCCCUCCUCGCUUCUAAUUAAUAACAGGGUCGUGCCUUUAAUUUAAUCAUGUCACGGGAACCACACGUGAGAAUACCUUUUUUUUAUUGCUCUUUAUUAUGUCUCCGGCUGUAAUAAAAAGAGUGGUAAUAUUUUCCACCUGACAGAAGGAAGAUCAGACAAGAUACGAAAUAUUAUUGUACGUAAACACACACACACACACACACACACACACACAGGUGAUAGGAAGGAUAGGUAUGAACGGGUGUAUGCGUGGCUGGGGUGGAAAGGGUGUAAGAGGUGGAAGGGAUGGAAGAGGCGGAAGGGAAUGGAAGGGAUGAAAGGGGAUGGAGGAAGUGGACCAAGGGGUGGAAGAUGGCGGUGUGCGUGGCUGGGGUGGAUAGGGUGUAAGGGGUGGAAGGAAGGGGAUGGAAGAGGCGGUAGGGACUGGUAGGGAUGAAAGGGGAUGGAGGAAGUGGAUCAAGGGGUGGAAGAUGGCGGUGUGCGUGGCUGGAGUGGAAAGGGUGUAAGAGGUGGAAGGGAUGGAGGGGAAGGAAGGGGAUGGAAGAGGCGGAAGGGAAUGGAAGGGGUGGAAGAGGAUGGAGGGAGUGGAAAGGGGAUGAAAGAUGGCGGUUGAAGGUCAUGGAUGAGAAAAAAA